UGUGAGCUCGAUGAGUAGGGCGGGACACGUGGUAUCCUGUCUGAAUAUGGGGGGACCAUCCUCCAAGGCUAAAUACUCCUGACUGACCGAUAGUGAACCAGUACCGUGAGGGAAAGGCGAAAAGAACCCCGGCGAGGGGAGUGAAAAAGAACCUGAAACCGUGUACGUACAAGCAGUGGGAGCCUCUUAAUGGGGUGACUGCGUACCUUUUGUAUAAUGGGUCAGCGACUUAUAUUCUGUAGCAAGGUUAACCGAAUAGGGGAGCCGAAGGGAAACCGAGUCUUAACUGGGCGUUAAGUUGCAGGGUAUAGACCCGAAACCCGGUGAUCUAGCCAUGGGCAGGUUGAAGGUUGGGUAACACUAACUGGAGGACCGAACCGACUAAUGUUGAAAAAUUAGCGGAUGACUUGUGGCUGGGGGUGAAAGGCCAAUCAAACCGGGAGAUAGCUGGUUCUCCCCGAAAGCUAUUUAGGUAGCGCCUCGUGAAUUCAUCUCCGGGGGUAGAGCACUGUUUCGGCAAGGGGGUCAUCCCGACUUACCAACCCGAUGCAAACUGCGAAUACCGGAGAAUGUUAUCACGGGAGACACACGGCGGGUGCUAACGUCCGUCGUGAAGAGGGAAACAACCCAGACCGCCAGCUAAGGUCCCAAAGUCAUGGUUAAGUGGGAAACGAUGUGGGAAGGCCCAGACAGCCAGGAUGUUGGCUUAGAAGCAGCCAUCAUUUAAAGAAAGCGUAAUAGCUCACUGGUCGAGUCGGCCUGCGCGGAAGAUGUAACGGGGCUAAACCAUGCACCGAAGCUGCGGCAGCGACACUAUGUGUUGUUGGGUAGGGGAGCGUUCUGUAAGCCUGUGAAGGUGGCCUGUGAGGGUUGCUGGAGGUAUCAGAAGUGCGAAUGCUGACAUAAGUAACGAUAAAGCGGGUGAAAAGCCCGCUCGCCGGAAGACCAAGGGUUCCUGUCCAACGUUAAUCGGGGCAGGGUGAGUCGACCCCUAAGGCGAGGCCGAAAGGCGUAGUCGAUGGGAAACAGGUUAAUAUUCCUGUACUUGGUGUUACUGCGAAGGGGGGACGGAGAAGGCUAUGUUGGCCGGGCGACGGUUGUCCCGGUUUAAGCGUGUAGGCUGGUUUUCCAGGCAAAUCCGGAAAACCAAGGCUGAGGCGUGAUGACGAGGCACUACGGUGCUGAAGUGACAAAUGCCCUGCUUCCAGGA
rnacentral:rRNA from 1 species